UCAAGUUAUUAAGGGUGCAGGGCGGAUGCCUUGGCACUAGGAGCCGAUGAAGGACGUGAUAAGCUGCGAUAAGCUUCGGGGAGUUGCACGUAAACUUUGAUCCGAAGAUUUCCGAAUGAGGAAACUCACUUAGAGUAAUGUCUAAGUAUCAUUAAGUGAAUACAUAGCUUAAUGAGGGGAACUCAGGGAACUGAAACAUCUAAGUACCUGAAGGAAGAAAAAGAAAUUCGAUUCCGUAAGUAGCGGCGAGCGAACGCGGAUUAGCCCAAACCAAUAAAGUUUUCUUUAUUGGGGUUGCGGACAUAUCAUAACGAAGAGGUAUCGUAAUUGAAGAGGUUUGGAAAGACCCACCACAGAAGGUAAUAGUCCUGUAUGUUAAACGAGAAGACUUCAGAUAUGAUCCAGAGUACCACGGGACACGUGAAACCCUGUGGGAAGCAGGAGGGACCACCCUCCAAGGCUAAAUACUACCUAGUGACCGAUAGCGUAUAGUACCGUGAGGGAAAGGUGAAAAGAACCCCGGGAGGGGAGUGAAAUAGAACCUGAAACCCUGCACUUACAAGCUGUGGAAGCACAUUUCUUGUGUGACCGCGUACUUUUUGUAGAACGGGCCAACGAGUUACGUUAAGUAGCAAGGUUAAGCACUUAAGGUGCGGAGCCGUAGCGAAAGCGAGUUUUAACUGAGCGUUCAGUUACUUGACGUAGACCCGAAACCGGGCGACCUACCCAUGAGCAGGAUGAAGCGAAAGUAAAAUUUCGUGGAGGUCCGAACCCACGAGCGUUGAAAAGCUCGGGGAUGACUUGUGGGUAGCGGUGAAAUUCCAAUCGAGCCUGGAGAUAGCUGGUUCUCCCCGAAAUAGCUUUAGGGCUAGCCUCAAGGUGAGAGAUACGGAGGUAGAGCACUGAAUGUCCUAGGGGGUAUUGCACCUACCGAAGACUAUCAAACUCCGAAUGCCGUCAUCUUAUACUUGGGAGUCAGACUGUGGGUGAUAAGAUUCAUAGUCGAAAGGGCAACAGCCCAGAUCGUCAGCUAAGGUCCCUAAAUGUAAGUUAAGUGGUAAAGGAUGUGGGAUUGCACAGACAACCAGGAUGUUGGCUUAGAAGCAGCCACUCAUUCAAAGAGUGCGUAAUAGCUCACUGGUCGAGUGAUCCUGCGCCGAAGAUUUCCGGGGCUAAAACUUACUACCGAAGCUACGGCAUCAUUAUGAUGGGUAGGGGAGCUUCCCAUACGGGUUGAAGCAUGACCGUAAGGACAUGUGGACAGUAUGGGAGUGAGAAUGUUGGCAUGAGUAGCGAGAUGUGGGUGAGAAUCCCACAGGCCGUAAACCCAAGGUUUCCAGGGGAAGGUUCGUCCGCCCUGGGUUAGUCGGGACCUAAGCUGAGGCCGAAAGGCGUAGGUGAUGGACAACAGGUUGAUAUUCCUGUACUACCGAUAACCGUUUGAGAGAAGGGAUGACACAGUAGGAUAAGCUAAGCACACUGUUGGUUAUGUGUGCCCAAGCAUUGAGGCAGUCAAAGCAGGCAAAUCCGCUUUGAUAAUGCUGGGAUGUGAUGGGGAGCGAAAUUUAGUAGCGAAGUAGCUGAUUUCACACUGUCAAGAAAAGUCUCUAUCGAGGUUAAAGGUACCCGUACCGCAAACCGACACAGGUGGGUGAGGAGAGUAUCCUAAGGCCAGCGAGAGAACUGUUGUUAAGGAACUCGGCAAAAUGACCCCGUAACUUAGGGAUAAGGGGUGCCACCAUCCGGUGGCCGCAGAGAAUAGGCCCAAGCGACUGUUUACCAAAAACAUAGGUUUCUGCUAAGUCGCAAGACGAUGUAUAGGAGCUGACGCCUGCCCGGUGCUGGAAGGUUAAGGGGAUCUGUUAGAGCAAUCGAAGCAGUGAACUUAAGCCCCAGUAAACGGCGGCCGUAACUAUAACGGUCCUAAGGUAGCGAAAUUCCUUGUCGGGUAAGUUCCGACCCGCACGAAAGGCGUAACGAUUUGGGCACUGUCUCAACAACAGACUCGGUGAAAUUGUAAUUCCGGUGAAGAUGCCGGAUACCUGCGACAGGACGGAAAGACCCCAUGGAGCUUUACUGUAGCUUGACAUUGGGUCUUGGUACUACAUGUACAGGAUAGGUGGGAGGCUUUGAAACCAGGACGCCAGUUUUGGCGGAGCCAUCCUUGGGAUACCACCCUUGUAGUACUGGGACUCUAACCAUAGGCCAUGAAUCUGGUCUUGGGACACUGUCAGGUGGGCAGUUUGACUGGGGCGGUCGCCUCCCAAAAGGUAACGGAGGCGCUCAAAGGUUCUCUCAGUACGGUCGGAAAUCGUACGUAGAGUGUAAAGGCAAAAGAGAGCUUGAUUGCAAGACAUACAGGUCGAGCAAGGAUGAAAAUCGGACUUAGUGAUCCGGUGGUUCUGCGUGGAAGGGCCAUCGCUCAACGGAUAAAAGCUACCCUGGGGAUAACAGGCUUAUCUCCCCCAAGAGUCCACAUCGACGGGGAGGUUUGGCACCUCGAUGUCGGCUCAUCACAUCCUGGGGCUGUAGUAGGUCCCAAGGGUUGGGCUGUUCGCCCAUUAAAGUGGUACGCGAGCUGGGUUCAGAACGUCGUGAGACAGUUCGGUCCCUAUCCGUCGCAGGCGUAGGAAAUUUGAGAAGACCUGUCCUUAGUACGAGAGGACCGGGAUGGACGUACCUCUGGUGUACCAGUUGUUCUGCCAAGGGCAUGGCUGGGUAGCUAUGUACGGAAUGGAUAAGCGCUGAAAGCAUCUAAGCGCGAAGCCAACUUCAAGAUAAGAUUUCCCACCGCAAGGGUAAGACCCCAGAAAGACUAUCUGGUUGAUAGGUCGAAGGUGUAAGUGCAGCAAUGUAUUUAGCUUAUCGAUACUAAUAGGUCGAGGACUUGACCAA
rnacentral:rRNA from 1 species